AAAUUGAAGCAGAGGCGGGGUCAAGCCGUUUGAAAUUUUAGAGGGAACACUUCAAACUGAUGUAACUGGGAGAGCGCAUCUAAUGUGAGGUCGAUAAUGAUUGACCGUGACCUAAACUCGAUGCCAUAAGAAGAGUUUUUCCAACAGCCAAGGUUCUUCUUUGCUGGUUUCAUGUACUCCAGUUACCUGGAUGACCUCACAGAAACUGGACGAAUCAAAGGAGCAAACACUGAAGAGACCACUAAUGCUGCCCAUUCUAUGAUUGCAAAAGGCCUGGGUGCAAAAGUGGAGAUAAAAAAAUGGAGUGUGUUUGGUUCCACCCGACACAAGCACACAAUGUCACAGUGUGGACUUGGUCAUGCACAAAUGCGACUGCAAAAGAUUUCAAUGUGGAUGUGUAUGCAAACACUUAAUUUUUUCACAGAACAUUGCAGAGAAACAAGGACUUAUAAUUCAAGAUCUUACAGCAGAAGUAGCAAAAAAAUUGUUGACAGUGAAUCCUACAUCGGGGUCAAUGAAAACCUUACCGUCUAUCAAUUUGAUGGGA